rnacentral:rRNA from 1 species
CCUACGGGAGGCAGCAGUGGGGAAUAUUGGACAAUGGGCGCAAGCCUGAUCCAGCAACGCCGCGUGAGGGAUGACGGCCUUCGGGUUGUAAACCUCUUUCAGUACCGACGAAGCGCCUUUAACGGUGGUGACGGUAGGUACAGAAGAAGGACCGGCCAACUACGUGCCAGCAGCCGCGGUAAU